rnacentral:tRNA from 1 species
GGUGGCUUUGUUGGUAGAAUGCCUGCCUAACAUGCAGGAAGCCCUGAGUUCAAUUCCCAGAGUUAUUU